UACGUAGGGUGCAAGCGUUUGUCCGGAAUUAUUGGGCGUAAAGAGCUCGUAGGCGGUCUGUCGCGUCGGCUGUGAAAACCCGGAGCUCAACUCCGGGCCUGCAGUCGAUACGGGCAGACUGGAGUUCGGCAGGGGAGACUGGAAUUCCUGGUGUAGCGGUGAAAUGCGCAGAUAAUCAGGAGGAACACCGGUGGCGAAGGCGGGGUCUCUGGGCCCGAUACUGACGCUGGAGGAGCGAAAGCGUGGGGGAGCGAACAGG
rnacentral:rRNA from 1 species